UUAGGUUGGUGCAAAAGUAAUUGCGGUUUUUAUCGUUAUUUUCAAUACCAAAAACCACAAUUACUUUUGCACCAACCUAAUA
rnacentral:miRNA from 1 species